GUGCUUGCUAUGGCAGCACAUAUACUAAAAUUGGAACCAUACAGAGAAGAUUAGCAUGGCCCCUGCAAAAAGAAAAAAAAAAACACCGGUUAUUACAGCUUGGUCUU
rnacentral:snRNA from 1 species